UUUCCGUAGGUGAACCUGCGGAAGGAUCAUUAUUGUAUAACCGAGGUGCGAGGGCUGUCGCUGACCCGAAAGGUCGUGCACGCCCGAGUGCCCGCACACACAUCCAUCUCACCCCUAUGUGCACCACCGCGUGGGUCCCCCUUUGGCUUGUUCGGAGGGGGGCUUACGUUUUCACACAAACUUUGUAUGCAGUGUAGAAUGUAUUUUUUGUUUUUGCGAUCACGCAAUCAAUACAACUUUCAACAACGGAUCUCUUGGCUCUC
rnacentral:misc_RNA from 1 species